CACCGUAAUUGUAACUGAGGCAU
rnacentral:piRNA from 1 species